GAUUGCCUGAAAUUUACCUACGGAGGAUGCGAGGGAAACGCAAACAAUUUUGCCACAUAUCAAGCAUGCAUGAAAACGUGUAAAUAAUAUUACGCACAGCACGGCAGCCUGAACUAUCGCAUGAAUAAGCAAGGUGUCACAUCCUUGAGAAGCAGGAGCCGUACGAGGAGGACCUCGGUCGAUACAUCAUUCAUCUGCACAUUGACAUCACUAGAGCUAUUAUCAUUAAAUAUUGAUUCCACUCUA